UCCACAUUCCAAGGCCCCCUGAACUACUCACUAUGUGCUCUGCACCAACAACCUGAGCUUUUGUGCAACGAAAGUUAGAAGAGGAAACGUUGACGUGGAUGCGCAGUAGCUGGUAUUUUUUGGACAGGUCAGAACUGAAAUGGGCCGAGAUUGCCUCCAUGAACUUCAUCUUAAUGGAACUUAAAAAUGGCUUAAAGCAGCAGGAGCCGGUCUCCAGUGAUCCGUAGCAGUUCAUCCAUUUUGUCCGCCAGCGAGCGAACAUUGGCGAGGAAAAGGCUUGGAAGAGCGAGUCGAUGUGGCGUUAGCCUCUGCUGAAUUCCACCGCGAGACCCUCUGCGGCGGCAUUUGUGUGUCCGUCUGAAGAGCCCUCCAGUCGGUGUGGGGAUAUCCGGAUGUGCCGUUGGUUUAGCGAUCUCUAUUCUGGAGAGACACACAGUGUCACGAAGCUUCGUCCGCACUGCCAUCUUGUCAAGGGUAGUAUACCCUGCAUUUACUUAGUUGUUCAACAUGUGCUUCGAGACAAAAAAUGUGUU